CUGGAAUCGUCUGGGCAGCCUAUCUGGCGGCUUGUUUAGAUUUUUGUAAUAUAAAUAUUAGUGCGGGGUGUCGGGACUUUGACUGGAGCAGCCCGCGUGCGCGCCCCGCAAGCUUAGCCCCGCGCACACUCUCGUGCGCGCGUGUGCACACCCAGUUACUCUAGGGCAAAGGGGGAGUGUGUGUGUGUGUGUGUGUGUGUGUGUGUGUGUGCGCGUGUGAGUGUGUGUGUUGAUGGGGGGGGCGGUUGGAGCAAGGCGAGGGGGGGGGGGAGGCCGAGGAAAGAGACUGCCGCUGCACUGCCGCCCCAGCGUCCGAGCGGGCUUCUCAGCAGGCAACCGUUGCUCACCCGGCAAGAUGUGGAAACUGAGUUUCAAAGAGGGAAAGUGAAGCUUGUCCAAGGCCACAUAUAUAGUAAAAGAAUUGAAAUUCAGACCCUCUGAAGCCAAAUCCAGGGAUUACACCAAGUGGAGGACAGAGGAGCUACACUUUUCCUAGGCUUCAACAAGGACAAUAAAAAAAAAACCAGGAAAAGGGAAGUUGAGAUCUGGGCUUUCUGGACCAAAAUUGGAUUUCACUUCACCUUGGCAAUGAACUGUGUUUAAAAGGGUCCUUCAAAAAGAUUCCCAGUGAUUGGAGGGAACGCAUCUCCUAUCAAAGAGAAGAUACUGCCCUCCAGUUGGUAUCUUUGCAGCGGUGCCCUCAGGAGCGAAGAUCUAUUGUCUCUUAGCUGUAUACUAUGCAAAUGCUACUUUGUAAACCAAAGUUUUAUUGAAAAUAUUUAAGUUCUUUCCAUGUGAAUGUUUCAUGCUUUCAUGAAAAAAAAGGAAUGUAAUAUUCUUGUUCCUCAACACCUUCAAGCCUAGAAAAGCUAUAUAGAAUUAGGCAUGGACUUAGAAGCUGAAAAAAAACUGAGAAAUCAUCUAGUCCAACCACCUCAUUUUACAGAUAGGGAAACUGAGACCAAGAGGUGAAGUGAAUAUAUACUCUCCUGACUCUGAUCUGUAGAUAAAAUGGAAGUUUCCUGUGUUAUUUUACUUCCAAGGUUCUGUGAUUUAGUUUGUGUGUGAACUUCCUCCACCAAACAGGUUACAACUCAGGUAUUACUUAUUAGAUAAGUCUUAGAGCAUGACUUGAAGCCCAGAGAAGUUAAGUGGAUUGCCUAUGGUCACACAGCUAGAAAGUGUUAGAGUUGAGGUUUGAACUCACAUCUUCUCGACUCCAAAUUCAGCAUUUUAUCCACAGCACCAUUCUGUCUCUCUUUAUGAAUAUAAUAACAUUUUGUGAACUAACCAAUUAAUUUACCAUAGAUGGCUAUGGCAAUUCACAAAAGAACCAAAAGUACUAGAGUAUUGGGAAAGACAUCUGUCCAAGUGGCAGAAGUUAAUAUAAGAAACAAAACCAACCUUCCAAAUAAGACUAUCCUGUCCAAACUGGAUAUUUGGUCACUUUAGAUUGUAAGCUCCUUGAGGGCAAGGAAGAUCUUUUGCCUUUCUUUGUAUCCCCAGUGCUUAGCACAGUGCCUAGCACAUAGUCGGCACUUAAUAAAUAUUUGUUGAUUGACUGACUUGGUUUUUAUGUUGUCAGAUGGCGAUUCUAUAUAGGAAAACAUCUCUCAGAAAUCUCUAAGAACCAUAAGAGGGAGAAGCAAAGAUUAUCUUAUAGAAAAAAAGGGAAAGUUUUUUUUCUUUGAGACAA